UGAAAAUUUUUUCAAAUUUUUUUCUGAUUUUUUAUUAUUUUUUUAAUUUAAAGCAUUAUUUGAGUGAAAAGAAACUUAUUGCAACAAAUUCGCAUUCAAAUAUCUCACAUUUAUAAAUUUUGCUACAUUGCUCAAAAAUGAGGAAAAUUUUACAUUUUCUCAAACAGGGUAUGGAACUUGGUUCCUCGAAUAACUUCCGGCACGGACACCUGAGAGCAUGGCCGUCCAAGAAGAAAAUGUAGCCAUUGGUGCCACCUAUCGACCACAGGUUAAAGAUUGGCGAUCCGUUGGAUACCGACCGAGUUAUAGGCAAAACUUGGUGCAAAAAUGAGCCUUAGUAAAUUUUGAUUUUUUUGAAUUUUUUGAUUUUUUUUAUUAUUUUUCACUCUUUUUUUUAUUUAAAGCAUUACUUGAGUGAAAAGAAACACAUUGCAACCAAUUGGCAUUAAAAUAAACCAAUUUCAUUUUUUUUGCAAAAUUUCCCAAAAAAAACGUAAGGGGUAAGCCUUAUGAAAUUUUCGAGUUGAAAAUUUUUUCAAAAUUUUUUUCUGAUUUGUUAUUAUUUUUUUAAUUUAAAGCAUUAUUUGAGUGAAAAGAAACUUAUUGCAACAUAUUCGCAUUAAAAUAUAUCACAUUUAAAAUUUUGCUACAUUGCUCAAAAAUGAGGAAAAUUUUACAUUUUCUCAAACAGGGUAUGGAACUUGGUUCCUCGAAUAACUUCUGGCACAGACAUCUAAGGGCAUGGCUGUCCAAGAAGAAAAUGUAGCCAUUGUUGCCAUCUAUCGACCACAGGUUAAAGAUUGGCGAUCCGUUGGAUACCGACCGAGUUAUAGGCAAAACUUGGUGCAAAAAUGAAGAAAAUUUUACAUUUUCUCAAACAGGGUAUGGAACUUGGUUCCUCGAAUAACUUCUGGCACAGACAUCUGAGGGCAUGGCCGUCCAUGAAGAAAAUGUAGCCAUUGGUGCCAUCUAUCGACCACAGGUUAAAGAUUGGCGAUUCGUUGGAUACCGACCGAGUUAUAGGCAAAACUUGGUGCAAAAAUGAGCCUUAGUAAAUUUUGAUUUUUUUGAAUUUUUUGAUUUUUUCUAUUAUUUUUCACUCUUUUUUUAUUUAAAGCAUUACUUGAGUGAAAAGAAACACAUUGCGACCAAUUGGCAUUAAAAUAAACCAAUUUCAUUUUUUUUGCAAAAUUUCCCAAAAAAAACCUAAGGGGUAAGCCUUAUGAAAUUUUCGAGUUGAAAAUUUUUUCAAAAUUUUUUUCUGAUUUUUUAUUAUUUUUUUAAUUUAAAGCAUUAUUUGAGUGAAAAGAAACUUAUUGCAACAAAUUCGCAUUCAAAUAUCUCACAUUUAUUAAUUUUGCUACAUUGCUCAAAAAUGAGGAAAAUUUUACAUUUUCUCAAACAGGGUAUGGAACUUGGUUCCUCGAAUAACUUCUGGCACAGACAUCUAAGGGCAUGGCCGUCCAAGAAGAAAAUGUAGCCAUUGUUGCCAUCUAUCGACCACAGGUUAAAGAUUGGCGAUCCGUUGGAUACCGACCGAGUUAUAGGCAAAAGUUGGUGCAAAAAUGAGGAAAAUUUUACAUUUUCUCAAACAGGGUAUGGAACUUGGUUCCUCGAAUAACUUCUGGCACAAACAUCUAAGGGCAUGGCUGUCCAAGAAGAAAAUGUAGCCAUUGUUGCCAUCUAUCGACCACAGGUUAAAGAUUGGCGAUCCGUUGGAUACCGACCGAGUUAUAGGCAAAACUUGGUGCAAAAAUGAAGAAAAUUUUACAUUUUCUCAAACAGGGUAUGGAACAUAGUUCCUCGAAUAACUUCUGGCAUAGACAUCUGAGGGCAUGGCCGUCCAUGAAGAAAAUGUAGCCAUUGGUGCCAUCUAUCGACUACAGGUUAAAGAUUGGCGAUCCGUUGGAUACCGACCGAGUUAUAGGCAAAACUUGGUGCAAAAAUGAGCCUUAGUAAAUUUUAAUUUUUUUGAAUUUUUUUGAUUUUUUUAUUAUUUUUCACUCUUUUUUUAUUUAAAGCAUUACUUGAGUGAAAAGAAACACAAUGCAACCAAUUGGCAUUAAAAUAAAUCAAUUUCAUUUUUUUGCAAAAUUUUCCAAAAAAAACGUAAGGGGUAAGCCUUAUGAAAUUUUCAAGUUGAAAAUUUUUUCAAAAUUUUUUUCUGAUUUUUUAUUAUUUUUUUAAUUUAAAGCAUUAUUUGAGUGAAAAGAAACUUAUUGCAACAAAUUCGCAUUCAAAUAUAUCACAUUUUAAAAAUUUGCUACAUUGCUCAAAAAUGAGGAAAAUUUUACAUUUUCUCAAACAGGGUAAGGAACUUGGUUCCUCGAAUAACUUCCGGCACGGACACCUGAGAGCAUGGCCGUCCAAGAAGAAAAUGUAGCCAUUGGUGCCACCUAUCGACCACAGGUUAAGGAUUGGCGAUCCGUUGGAUACCGACCGAGUUACAGGCAAAACUUGGUGCAAAAAUGAGCCUAGGAGAU